CCCUUCAGCUCAUAGAUCUUCUGAGACAGGUCCUGUAUCUUUUUCCCGCAGAAAACAACACAAACACAUUCUCAACAUUACCUCAAAAUGUUCCAGUUCCCACUGAGUAUCGUUUACAUGCACUAUGCAUCCCUUACAUUUGUGUGAAAAAGGAUAGAACUCAAACAGUUAUUCACAAAUAUUACUCACCUCCCUGUUAUUUUUUGACACUUUAGAAUCAAUGUCAUACCGCUCUUCGUCUACGACAUCGAUUUUUUGGUGAAGCUCCUUGCAGAGAUUCUAUGGACAAAAACGUCUUCAAGUUGGCCUUGAAGUCCACAGACUCUUUGACUUUAGCUCCCAGCAGAGCUCCCAACAUGGCGUCAGCUGAGAUCUUCACCCUCUUAAGAGCAGAAAACCUGUUGAGGUGACCAGUGGCUCUCUUUGAAUGACCAGAGGAAAACUCACGUCAAAUUUAAUAGCUCCUCGUGCAUU